rnacentral:rRNA from 1 species
AUUGAACGCUGGCGGCAGGCCUAACACAUGCAAGUCGAACGAGUGUCGGACGGGUGAGUAAUGCUUGGGAAUCUAGCUUAUGGAGGGGGAUAACUACUGGAAACUGUAGCUAAUACCGCGUACCAUAGGAUGAGCCCCAGUGUGAUUAGGUAGUUGGUGGGGUAAAGGCUCACCAAGCCGACGAUCCCUAGCUGGUCUGAGAGGAUGACCAGCCACACUGGGACUGAGACACGGCCCAGACUCUAACGAGAGGCAGCAGUGGGGAAUAUUGCGCAAUGGGGGCAACCUGACGCAGCCAUGCCGCGUGAAUGAAGAAGGCCUUCGGGUUGUAAAGUUCUUUCGGUAGCGAGGCGUUAACUACAGAAGAAGCACCGGCUAACUCCGUGCCAGCAGCCGCGGUAAUAC